UCAAGUGUCUUAAGGGCAAUUGGUGGAUGCCUUGGCAUGCACAGGCGAUGAAGGACGUGAUACGCUGCGAUAAGCUACGGGGAGGUGCGAAUACCCUUUGAUCCGUAGAUUUCCGAAUGGGGAAACCCACCUAAGGUGCUUGGAAAAUCAGAGCAGCCAGUGGUCGACAAGGCCGACUUGCUGCUGUGGUUUCCAAGGAUCUGUUAUAGGUAACUUAUCCUGAAUACAUAGGGAUAAAGUGGCGAACGCGGGGAACUGAAACAUCUAAGUACCCGUAGGAAAGGACAUCAACCGAGACUCCGGCAGUAGUGGCGAGCGAACCCGGACCAGGCCAGUGGCGAUGAUGAGACAAGCGGAACCUUCUGGAAAGGAGGGCCAUAGUGGGUGACAGCCCCGUACGCGUAAUGCAAAUCAUCGUCCUCGAGUAAGGCGGGACACGUGAAAUCCUGUCUGAAAUUGGGGGGACCACCCUCCAAGCCUAAGUACUCGUGCAUGACCGAUAGCGAACUAGUACCGUGAGGGAAAGGUGAAAAGCACCCCGACAAGGGGAGUGAAAGAGUACCUGAAACCGAUUGCCUACAAACAGUGGGAGUCCAAGGUUCGUCCUGGGUGACCACGUACCUUUUGUAUAAUGGGUCAGCGACUUAGUGUGACGAGCAAGCUUAAACCGGUAGGUGUAGGCGCAGCGAAAGCGAGUCUGAACAGGGCGUUCAGUUCGUCGCAUUAGACCCGAAACCGAGUGAUCUAGCCAUGAGCAGGUUGAAGGUAAGGUAACACUUACUGGAGGACCGAACCCAUAACUGUUGCAAUAGUUCGGGAUGACUUGUGGCUAGGGGUGAAAGGCCAAUCAAACUCGGAAAUAGCUGGUUCUCCGCGAAAUCUAUUUAGGUAGAGCGUCGACCGAAUACCCCAGGGGGUAGAGCACUGGAUGGGCUAGGGGUCCUCACCGGAUUACCAAACCUAACCAAACUCCGAAUACCUGGGAGUACUAGUCGGCAGACACACGGCGGGUGCUAACGUCCGUCGUGAAAAGGGAAACAACCCUGACCUACAGCUAAGGUCCCCAAGUUAUGGCUAAGUGGGAAAGGAUGUGAGGAUCCCAAAACAACCAGGAUGUUGGCUUAGAAGCAGCCAUCAUUUAAAGAAAGCGUAACAGCUCACUGGUCUAAAUAAGGGUCUUUGCGCCGAAAAUGUAACGGGGCUCAAGCCAUACACCGAAGCUUAGGGUUCGUGAGCAAUCACGAGCGGUAGCGGAGCGUUCUGUAAGCUGAUGAAGCCAUACCCGUGAGGGGUGGUGGAGGUAUCAGAAGUGCGAAUGCUGACAUGAGUAACGUAAGGGGAGUGAGAGACUCCCCCGCCGAAAGUCCAAGGGUUCCUGCUUAAAGCUAAUCUGAGCAGGGUUAGCCGGCCCCUAAGUCGAGGCAGAAAUGCGUAGACGAUGGGAACCACGUUAAUAUUCGUGGGCCUGGAGGAAGUGACGGAUCAUUGAGGUAGUCCAAUCUUAUCGGAUUGAACGGGCUGCUGCGUGGUUCCAGGAAAUAGCUCCUCCUUAUAGACCGUACCCGAAACCGACACUGGUGGACUGGUAGAGUAUACCAAGGCGCUUGAGAGAACUAUGCUGAAGGAACUCGGCAAAUUGCACGCGUAACUUCGGAAGAAGCGUGACCCUUUUCCACGCAAGUGGAGGAGGGUGGCACAGACCAGGGGGUAGCGACUGUUUAUCAAAAACACAGGGCUCUGCGAAGUCGCAAGACGACGUAUAGGGUCUGACGCCUGCCCGGUGCUGGAAGGUUAAGAGGAGGGGUGCAAGCUCUGAAUCGAAGCCCCAGUAAACGGCGGCCGUAACUAUAACGGUCCUAAGGUAGCGAAAUUCCUUGUCGGGUAAGUUCCGACCUGCACGAAUGGCGUAACGACUUCCCCGCUGUCUCCAGCAUAGACUCAGUGAAAUUGAAUUCCCCGUGAAGAUGCGGGGUUCCUGCGGUUAGACGGAAAGACCCCGUGCACCUUUACUAUAGCUUUACAUUGGCAUUCGUAGUGGCAUGUGUAGGAUAGGUGGUAGGCUUUGAAACCUGGGCGCCAGCUCAGGUGGAGCCACCCUUGAAAUACCACCCUUAUCACUAUGGAUGUCUAACCGCGGCCCGUCAUCCGGGUCCGGGACAAUGUAUGGUGGGUAGUUUGACUGGGGCGGUCGCCUCCUAAAGAGUAACGGAGGCGCGCGAUGGUGGGCUCAGAACGGUCGGAAAUCGUUCGCUGAGUGCAAUGGCAUAAGCCUGCCUGACUGCGAGACUGACAAGUCGAGCAGAGACGAAAGUCGGUCAUAGUGAUCCGGUGGUCCCGCGUGGAAGGGCCAUCGCUCAACGGAUAAAAGGUACGCCGGGGAUAACAGGCUGAUGACCCCCAAGAGUCCAUAUCGACGGGGUUGUUUGGCACCUCGAUGUCGACUCAUCGCAUCCUGGGGCUGGAGCAGGUCCCAAGGGUAUGGCUGUUCGCCAUUUAAAGCGGUACGUGAGUUGGGUUCAGAACGUCGUGAGACAGUUCGGUCCCUAUCUGCCGUGGGUGUAGGAAUAUUGAAAGGAUCUGUCCCUAGUACGAGAGGACCGGGAUGGACGGAUCUCUGGUGGACCUGUUGUGGCGCCAGCCGCAUAGCAGGGUAGCUAUAUCCGGACGGGAUAACCGCUGAAGGCAUCUAAGCGGGAAACCCACCUUAAAACGAGUAUUCCCUGAGAACCGUGGAAGACGACCACGUUGAUAGGCCGGGUGUGGAAGAGCGGCAACGCUUGAAGCUUACCGGUACUAAUAGUUCGAUCGGCUUGAUCGU
rnacentral:rRNA from 1 species